AGGACGAACGCUGGCGGCGUGCUUAACACAUGCAAGUCAAGGGGGCCCAGCAAUGGGCAACCGGCGAACGGGUGCGUAACACGUGAGCAACCUACCGAACUGUGGGGGAUAGCCGGCCUAACGGCCGAGUAAUACCGCAUACGCUCUCAGAGAGGCAUUUCUUUGAGAGGAAACCUACGGGACAGAUCGAGGGGCUCGCGGCCUAUCAGCUAGUUGGCGAGUAACGGCUCACCAAGGCAACGACGGGUA
rnacentral:rRNA from 1 species